GUUGCAUGUCCAUACCAUGAAUAUAGCUGUAUAAGAAAUUGUAUGAUGAAUGGGUCCUACUUCUGCACAUAUGUUGGCCGCAGUUUGAUCCGUUAGCGGAAGUUUUCUUCAUAAAGCAUCUACCUUGAAACGAUUUCUUGUCUGUAUAAAGUUCUUAAAAAACGAUAAGAAUUGUGCACGAUCUUUUUUAUUUUGUCUACUGAAAAAGUGUAAUAAGUGGACUUCGAGGAAUAUAUAAAGGAUUUUCUUCAUCAUUAGGCCCCAAAUACAUAAUGCCCCAUGGGACAGUAGUGUAGAUUUUGGUUCAGUUUAAAUACGACACAUAAAGCCAAGAGUUGAUGGCGAGUGAUAGCCGCGCGACGGCAAGACAUCGUACACUGUUGUGCUUGGUUGUUCACACGUCGUCGAUUUUUUUGAUAUUUUCUCAAUUUGUCUGAAUUGAACAUCAUUCCGACGCAACAAUUCGACUGUUUUCAUCUUAAAAAACAUCUAGAAGAUCCGAUGUUGUAUAGUAAAGGCGGAGAACCUUUCGUAAAAUUACGAAAAUAUAGGGUAAAAAUGCUCGCUACUACCCAUCUUGAACUUUGAUGGAUAUUUACAACCACUUUAAAUAAGAUGGAUGAUACAUUAGACUCUGUUAUAGAUGGUCUUGUAAUCUAAAUACACAAGAUGAACUAUCAUAUUUAUUUGGAAGAGAUCCAAGUAUCUUGGCCUAUAAAGGAGUCAGGAAUAAGGCCCAGUCAAUGCACUGAUGCACAUUAUGUUAAUUCUGAUUCUGGGCCUUACCAGAUUUUAAUGGCUGGACAGUAUAAUUUAAAAGUAACUGUAACAGCUGUAAAUUCAAGAAGUUCUAGGUUGCAUUAUAUAUUUAUUAUCAAAUUAUUGAAGCAUUAUAUUGAGAAUGAACCAAAUACUGUUGAAUUUAGCAUAUCCACCUUCUGCAAUUUGGUUGGUUCAGAACAUUUGAAAAAAAUAUUAAACAUUAGGGAUAAAUUAAAAGAAGCACAAAAUAUUAAUACAAGUCUGUUAGUAUUGGGAAGACGUUUAAAAAUGAUUCAUAAUGAGCAACUAUCUAAACAAAAACCAGAACAUAUUGGUCCAUUUAGGGAUUCAAAACUAACAAGACUUUUUCAAACAGCACUUUCUGAUAAAGAACAUAUGGCUGUGAUAGUGAAUAUCAAUCUUUUAACAAAUUUGUAUACAGAAACACAAAAUGUUCCGAAUUUAGCUACAAUUGUAAAGAAAAUAGUUUUACAACAGAAACAAAAAGUUUAUAAGAAAAAGUCCCAGUCUAUACAAAUAGAGAAAGUAUUAAAACAGUAACUGAUUGGGAUGUUACAGAAUUAGGAAGUGAAGAAUUGCAUAACACUGGUGGUAAUCAUGCUACAUAUACCUGUAUAUGUUCAAAUUGAGGAUUAUGAUGAGUUAUUUUGUACAAUAAAAAUUUAAAAGAUGUAAUAAAAUUAUUGACGAAUUCUGCAUUAAGUCGUGAUCUAGAGAUUCGCCAAGAAAUGGCGGAUACGAGACUUUAAUACCCAAAUUUAUGUGCUUGGACGUACAUGCUCCAAAAAUCAUAGAACUGGAGCACAUUCUCAAUACUGUAACGGAACUUCAGCGAUAAAACGAAGAUUAAAUAAAAACUUAGAGAUAUGUCAAAAUGAGAAAGAACGUCUGCAAAAGUUGUUAGAUGAAAAUAAUGAUAAGCUCUUAGAAUUUGAGGAUUGUUUGAAAAAUGCGGAGGAUAUAGAACAGGAGAAAGAUGCUGAAAUGGUGUUGCUUCAACAAGGUCAGAUACAUAUUAUAUAUAUAUAUAUCAUUAUAAAUAUUACUUCUGCAGUGAAGAAAAACAAAAUUCAUCAUGAUAUCAGAAAUGAUUCUGGUAUCACUUUCUAAUUCUGCCGUAUCCUAAUCAGUUAUUGGUUUUAUAUUUUCUCUAACUAUUUCGGGAGUUUUUCUUAUACAUUUUUUGUUUCUGUUCUAAAACUAUUUUCUUUGUAAUUGUAGCAAAAUUCGGAACAUUUUGUGUUUCUGUAUACAAAUUUGUUAAAAGAUUGAUAUUCACUAUCAAAGCCAUGUGUUCUUUAUCAGAAACUGCUGUUUGAAAAAGUCUUGUUAGUUUUGACUCUCUAAAUGGACCAAUAUGUUCUGGUCUUUGUUUAGAUAGUUGCUCAUUAUGAAUCGUUUUUAAACAUCUUCCUAAUACUAACAGAUUUGUAUUAAUGUUUUGUACUUCUUUUAAACUGUUUAAAUAAAAUUCAUUUCGUCCGCAAGAAAUACACAUUGGCAGAGUUGCUCGUAGUUUUUAUUUUAUUCAAUUAUAUAAUUUCGUACAGUAGAAUGUCGGGCCUAUUUUUAUACAGUAGGACUUCGUUCAUUUGAACUCCAUUCUGCUAAACAAAGUUAUCUAUGUAUGUAUAUAAACUAUCUAGAUAUAAGAUCUGUCAUGUUCCUUUACAUGUUCAUAUAAAGGGAGCUCUACUGUAUUUAAUUUGAUGUAAUACAAUGAUACACUACGAUUCAUUGUUGCAAAAUUUUUGAAUUAUAUUUUCCUUCCUUUAUCUCUAAAUUACGUUUUACGUAAGUGUACACUUUGGCAGAUUAAUUGAGCGGAAGUCGGUGUUAAUCACGUCCAUAUUCAUACUUGAUUGAUGUGUACGUGAAAUAACACUGAGAAUAAAAUAUAUAUACAAUUUUUUAAGCAUGUUUGAUGUAUUCAAUACAUAAGAAGUAAAAUUUAAUUGUCGAUCUUGUCUUCAAAUUAUUGAAAUGUAAGAUGGCAAUACAUUGAGUGGCCUUAAGUCUUAUCUCAUAAUACAUAUGUAAUCAAAAGUGGAAACUAAAUUUAAAAAAUAUAUAGGGUUUCCAGAUAUUUAACUAACAACUCACAGUUUAUGUUUGCCUGUAGGUGAAUAAUUCGUGUGAGAUAUGCAUUUAUCUAAUGAUUAUUUAUUUAGAUAACUGCUAUUUAUCUGUUGGUUUCCGUAAUUAUGUAUAACACUGCGUAAAAAAGAAGAGUGGAGGAAAAAGAAACCUAAUGCAACAUUGUACUUUCGUGCAGUUUGAGACUCAAAUAGGUUAAAUUCAGUAAAUCAAUGAAUAAGGAGACCAUGUAAUAUUAUUGCUAAAUAAUAUAAAUAUUUUAAUAAUGGUCUAUUCCUUGAAAAAAAAUGCCUGAAGUUAUAAUGGCUGUCCACUCCAAUUCUAUUACUUCAAACACACACACUUUGAAAUUACAACAAAGACAUCUUCCUUAAAAACCAAACCAUAAAUAUAUUACUACUUCGAAAUAACGGUUACCAACUAAACUUUUCAUAGAACUAUAUUUUAACAAGUAAUCAACUGUCAAUGAUUACAUGUGGAUAUUAAGCGUAAUUUUUUUGUUAUUGUCAGUCAAUAUUAUUAGUAUUAUUAAAUCAACAAGUUUAAAUAUAAAAAUAAAUUUCAAAAGGAUGUAGAAAUAUUAGUAACCAUUUGGAUAAAUUGUGUUAAUAUACUCAAAUAGAGAUUUUAAAUUUGUUUAAUUUCACCACUGCAAUGAGGACAACAAGUUAUAUUUGAAUCAUUUCGUGGUAGAAAUAUUUGGCCACCAAGUGCUACAGCAGCACCCAUCACUGCACUACAAGCAACAUCUUGCCUUCCCGACAUGAGCAAAUUCGGACUCAUGAGCAACUAUAAAUAAACAAAUAAAAUAGAAUAAACAAGUGUUACCAAUAAGGUUAGUUGCAGAUUAUGUACAUAACAUGAAUUAAAGGAAGUAAAAACUCACUUGUUCUGCCAUUUUUUCAGCAAGUGUUUUCAUAUCUAAUCCUGUUAUAUUAAUUUCUUUGUGUAAGUGAAUAUUUUCUACACCACUUAACAAUUGAACUUUCAAAAUUUCUGCUAGCUGACAGCAUCCUUGUGCUAAGUCAGUAAUAUUUGUACUUGGUAACUCGUGCCUUUUAGAAGAUGCAGCUCCAACAGGAUCAAAGUUUUCACGAAGAAUACUGAGGGUCCUAAAAUAAGUGAACUUGUACGCUAAUUAACUUAAUAAUAUAAACAUUUAUACGAAGAGA